CCUACGGGAGGCUGCAGUGAGGAAUAUUGGUCAAUGGGCGGGAGUCUGAACCAGCCAAGCCGCGUGAGGGAAGAAGGUACAGCGUAUCGUAAACCUCUUUUGUCAGGGAACAAAGGCGGGGACUAGUCCCCCGAUGAGUGUAUCUGAAGAAAAAGCAUCGGCUAACUCCGGGCCAGCAGCCGCGGUAUUAUGGAGGAUGCGAGCGUUAUCCGGAUUUAUUGGGUUUAAAGGGUGCGCAGGCGGCCGGUUAAGUCAGCGGUAAAAGCCCGGGGCUCAACCCGGGCCUUGCAGCGCGAACUGGCGUGCGUGAGUCCGCGGAAGGCAGGCGGAAUUCGUGGUGUAGCGGUGAAAUGCUUAGAUAUGACGAAGAACCCCGAUUGCGAAGGCAGCUGGCUGCAGCGGAACUGACGCUGAUGCUCGAAAGCGCGGGUAUCGAACAGGAUUAGAUACCCUAGUAGUC
rnacentral:rRNA from 1 species